rnacentral:rRNA from 1 species
CCUACGGGCGACAGCAGUGAGGAAUAUUGGUCAAUGGACGGAAGUCUGAACCAGCCAUGCCGCGUGCAGGAAGACGGCUCUAUGGUUUGUAAACUGCUUUUGUACAAGGGUAAACCUGAACACGUGUAUUCAGCUGAAAGUACUCUACGAAUAAGGAUCGGCUAACUCCGUGCCAGCAGCCGCGGUAAUACGGAGGAUGCAAGCGUUAUCCGGAUUUAUUGGGUUUAAAGGGUGAGUAGGCGGAUUGGUAAGUUAGAGGUGAAAUGUCCGGGCUUAACUAGAGAACUGCCUGUAAAACUGUUAAUCUAGAGUAUAGGUGCGGUAGGCGGAAUGCAUGGUGUAGCGGUGAAAUGCUUAGAUAUCAUGCAGAACACCGAUUGCGAAGGCAGCUUACUAAUCUAUAUCUGACGCUGAGGCACGAAAGCGUGGGGAGCGAACAGGAUUAGAUACCCCAGUAGUC